rnacentral:rRNA from 1 species
UAGGGAAUCUUCCGCAAUGGACGAAAGUCUGACGGAGCAAUGCCGCGUGAGUGAAGAAGGUCUUCGGAUCGUAAAGCUCUGUUGCCGGAGAAGAACAAGGACAGUAGUAACUGGCUGUCCCUUGACGGUAUCCGGCCAGAAAGCCACGGCUAACUACGUGCCAGCAGCCGCGGUAAUACGUAGGUGGCAAGCGUUGUCCGGAUUUAUUGGGCGUAAAGCGAGCGCAGGCGGUCCUUUAAGUCUGAUGUGAAAGCCCACGGCUCAACCGUGGAAGGUCAUUGGAAACUGGGGGACUUGAGUGCAGAAGAGGAAAGUGGAAUUCCAUGUGUAGCGGUGAAAUGCGUAGAUAUAUGGAGGAACACCAGUGGCGAAGGCGACUUUCUGGUCUGUAACUGACGCUGAGGCUCGAAAGCGUGGGGAGCGAACA